AUGGGAAGCUCGAGUUCAAAAAGUGAGCCAACUUCAGCACCACCAAGGCCUCCGCACAGCACGACUACUAGCGCACCUGCUCCAGCCAGCAUGACUACUAGCGCACCUGCUCCAGUCCCAACAAUAGGAGCUGAACACGGUUUUGAUGACCAUGAGGUACUCUACAUGUUGCUGUCCUUUCUUGCUGGUGCUUUGUUAGCCUCUCUGAUAUUCACAUUCAUCUGCUUGAUCAUCGGACAAAGGACAAAAAAAUCUCGCAGGAGAUUCCAAGAGGCUUCUCCAGAGAAGGAUGUUGCCCAGUCCAUGCAGCAGGCAGAUGUGGAACAUGCCCAGGAAAAGCUUCCCCAGGACGAAGUCCAUUAUGCCUCUUUGACUUUCAAGAAGACAUCCAAGUCCGCUGCAGAGAAAUGA
rnacentral:lncRNA from 1 species